rnacentral:rRNA from 1 species
UCACUUAUCGCGUUACCUCGGCACAGAGGUUCGACCCCCUACACCCAGUGAACAUCGUUUACVGCGUGGACUACCAGGGUAUCUAAUCCUGUUCGCUCCCCACGCUUUCGAGCUUUAGCGUCAGUAUCUGUCCAGUGAGCGGUCUUCACUAUCGGCAUUCCUACAAAUAUCUACGAAUUUCACCUCUACACUUGUAGUUCCGCCCACCUCUCCAGUACUCUAGCCUGCCAGUUUCAAACGCAAUACGGAGUUGAGCCCCGCAUUUUCACAUCUGACUUAACAAGCCGCCUAGACUCGCUUUACGCCCAAUAAUUCCGGAUAACGCUUGCGACAUACGUAUUACCGCGGCUGCUGGCACGUAUUUAGCCGUCGCUUCUUCUGGUGGUACCGUCACUUUCUUCUUCCCACCUGAAAGCACUUUACAAUCCGAAGACCUUCAUCGUGCACACAGAAUUGCUGGAUCAGACUUUUGGUCCAUUGUCCAAUAUUCCCCACUGCUGCCUCCCGUAGAGUAAGGGCCGUGUCUCAGUCCCCUUGUGGCCGUUCACCCUCUCAGGCCGGCUAUCCAUCGUCGCCUUGGUAGGCAUUACCCUACCAACUAGCUAAUGGAACGCAAAGUUCUCCUCCAGCGCAUAUAGCUUUCAUAAGUCCUCGAUGCCGAGGUCUCAUAAUAUCCGGUAUUAGCUAA